rnacentral:tRNA from 1 species
AGCAGUGUGGCCUAAUAGAUGGAGCACCUGCCCGGGAGUCAGGACGACCUGGGUUCUAACCCCAGCUCUGCCA